rnacentral:rRNA from 1 species
CUNCAUGAAGCUGGAGUUACUAGUAAUCGCAGAUCAGAAUGCUGCGGUGAAUGCGUUCCCGGGUCUUGUACACACCGCCCGUCACACCACGGGAGUUGGAGACGCCCGAAGCCGAUUAUCUAACCUUGUGGAAGAAGUCGUCGAAGGUGGAAUCAAUAACUGGGGUGAAGUCGUAACAAGGUAGCCGUAUCGGAAGGUGCGGCUGGAUCACCUCCUUUCUAAGGAGA